UACGGAGGGUGCAAGCGUUAUCCGGAUUCACUGGGCUUAAAGGGUGCGUAGGUGGGCAAGUAAGUCAGUGGUGAAAUCUCCGGGCUUAACCCGGAAACUGCCAUUGAUACUAUUUGUCUUGAAUACUGUGGAGGUCAGCGGAAUAUGUCAUGUAGCGGUGAAAUGCUUAGAUAUGACAUAGAACACCAAUUGCGAAGGCAGCUGGCUACACAAAUAUUGACACUGAGGCACGAAAGCGUGGGGAUCAAACAGG
rnacentral:rRNA from 1 species